UGGGGAAUAUUGGACAAUGGGCGAAAGCCUGAUCCAGCCAUGCCGCGUGAGUGAUGAAGGCCUUCGGGUUGUAAAGCUCUUUUGGCGGGGACGCGGUACCCGCAGAAUAAGCCCCGGCUAACUUCGUGCCAGCAGCCGCGGUAAUACGAAGGGGGCUAGCGUUGUUCGGAAUCACUGGGCGUAAAGCGCACGUAGGCGGAUUUGUUAGUCAGGGGUGAAAUCCCGGAGCUCAACUCCGGAACUGCCUUUGAUACUGCAAGUCUCGAGUCCGAUAGAGGUGGGUGGAAUUCCUAGUGUAGAGGUGAAAUUCGCAGAUAUUAGGAAGAACACCGGUGGCGAAGGCGGCCCACUGGAUCGGUACUGACGCUGAGGUGCGAAAGCGUGGGGAGCAAACAGGAUUAGAUACCCCUGUAGU
rnacentral:rRNA from 1 species